UACGAAGGGGGCUAGCGUUGCUCGGAAUUACUGGGCGUAAAGCGCACGUAGGCGGAUUGUUAAGUCGGGGGUGAAAUCCUGGAGCUCAACUCCAGAACUGCCUUCGAAACUGGCGAUCUUGAGUCCGGGAGAGGUGAGUGGAACUGCGAGUGUAGAGGUGAAAUUCGUAGAUAUCGGAAGGAACACCAGUGGCGAAAGCGGCUUCCUGGUCCAGCACCGACGUUCAGGCACGAAAGCGUGGGGAGCAAACAGG
rnacentral:rRNA from 1 species